ACGAAGGGGGCUAGCGUUGUUCGGAAUUACUGGGCGUAAAGGGCGCGUAGGCGGCCUUGUUAGUCGAGUGUGAAAGCCCUGGGCUUAACCCGGGAAGCGCGCUUGAUACUGCAGGGCUUGAGUGUGGGAGAGGUUGGUGGAAUUCCCAGUGUAGAGGUGAAAUUCGUAGAUAUUGGGAAGAACACCGGUGGCGAAGGCGGCCACCUGGACAGUAACUGACGCUGAGAUGCGAAAGCGUGGGGAGCAAACAGGA
rnacentral:rRNA from 1 species